rnacentral:rRNA from 1 species
UACGUAGGUGGCAAGCGUUGUCCGGAUUUAUUGGGUUUAAAGGGUGCGUAGGCGGUUCUUUAAGUCAGUGGUGAAAUACUCUAGCUCAGCUAGAGGGGUGCCAUUGAUACUGAAGAACUUGAGUGAAGUCGAAGUAGGCGGAAUUGACGGUGUAGCGGUGAAAUGCUUAGAUAUCGUCAAGAACACCGAUAGUGAAGACAGCUUACUAGGCUUAUACUGACGCUGAGGCACGAAAGUGUGGGGAUCAAACAGG